rnacentral:rRNA from 1 species
UACGUAGGGACCGAGCGUUGUCCGGAUUCAUUGGGCGUAAAGAGCUCGUAGGCGGCUGCUCAAGUCGAAUGUGAAAACUCGAGGCUCAACCUCGAGCCUGCAUUCGAUACUGGGCGGCUAGAGUCGUGGUAGGGGGAUCUGGAAUUCCUGGUGUAGCGGUGGAAUGCGCAGAUAUCAGGAGGAACACCGGUGGCGAAGGCGGGAUCCUGGGCCAGUACUGACGCUGAGACGCGAAAGCUAGGGGAGCGAACAGGA